rnacentral:rRNA from 1 species
AGCGUACACGGUGGAUGCCCUGGCAGUCAGAGGCGAUGAAGGACGUGCUAAUCUGCGAUAAGCGUCGGUAAGGUGAUAUGAACCGUUAUAACCGGCGAUUUCCGAAUGGGGAAACCCAGUGUGUUUCGACACACUAUCAUUAACUGAAUCCAUAGGUUAAUGAGGCGAACCGGGGGAACUGAAACAUCUAAGUACCCCGAGGAAAAGAAAUCAACCGAGAUUCCCCCAGUAGCGGCGAGCGAACGGGGAGCAGCCCAGAGCCUGAAUCAGUGUGUGUGUUAGUGGAAGCGUCUGGAAAGGCGCGCGAUACAGGGUGACAGCCCCGUACACAAAAAUGCACAUGCUGUGAGCUCGAUGAGUAGGGCGGGACACGUGGUAUCCUGUCUGAAUAUGGGGGGACCAUCCUCCAAGGCUAAAUACUCCUGACUGACCGAUAGUGAACCAGUACCGUGAGGGAAAGGCGAAAAGAACCCCGGCGAGGGGAGUGAAAAAGAACCUGAAACCGUGUACGUACAAGCAGUGGGAGCACGCUUAGGCGUGUGACUGCGUACCUUUUGUAUAAUGGGUCAGCGACUUAUAUUCUGUAGCAAGGUUAACCGAAUAGGGGAGCCGAAGGGAAACCGAGUCUUAACUGGGCGUUAAGUUGCAGGGUAUAGACCCGAAACCCGGUGAUCUAGCCAUGGGCAGGUUGAAGGUUGGGUAACACUAACUGGAGGACCGAACCGACUAAUGUUGAAAAAUUAGCGGAUGACUUGUGGCUGGGGGUGAAAGGCCAAUCAAACCGGGAGAUAGCUGGUUCUCCCCGAAAGCUAUUUAGGUAGCGCCUCGUGAAUUCAUCUCCGGGGGUAGAGCACUGUUUCGGCAAGGGGGUCAUCCCGACUUACCAACCCGAUGCAAACUGCGAAUACCGGAGAAUGUUAUCACGGGAGACACACGGCGGGUGCUAACGUCCGUCGUGAAGAGGGAAACAACCCAGACCGCCAGCUAAGGUCCCAAAGUCAUGGUUAAGUGGGAAACGAUGUGGGAAGGCCCAGACAGCCAGGAUGUUGGCUUAGAAGCAGCCAUCAUUUAAAGAAAGCGUAAUAGCUCACUGGUCGAGUCGGCCUGCGCGGAAGAUGUAACGGGGCUAAACCAUGCACCGAAGCUGCGGCAGCGACGCUUAUGCGUUGUUGGGUAGGGGAGCGUUCUGUAAGCCUGUGAAGGUGUGCUGUGAGGCAUGCUGGAGGUAUCAGAAGUGCGAAUGCUGACAUAAGUAACGAUAAAGCGGGUGAAAAGCCCGCUCGCCGGAAGACCAAGGGUUCCUGUCCAACGUUAAUCGGGGCAGGGUGAGUCGACCCCUAAGGCGAGGCCGAAAGGCGUAGUCGAUGGGAAACAGGUUAAUAUUCCUGUACUUGGUGUUACUGCGAAGGGGGGACGGAGAAGGCUAUGUUGGCCGGGCGACGGUUGUCCCGGUUUAAGCGUGUAGGCUGGUUUUCCAGGCAAAUCCGGAAAAUCAAGGCUGAGGCGUGAUGACGAGGCACUACGGUGCUGAAGCAACAAAUGCCCUGCUUCCAGGAAAAGCCUCUAAGCAUCAGGUAACAUCAAAUCGUACCCCAAACCGACACAGGUGGUCAGGUAGAGAAUACCAAGGCGCUUGAGAGAACUCGGGUGAAGGAACUAGGCAAAAUGGUGCCGUAACUUCGGGAGAAGGCACGCUGAUAUGUAGGUGAAGUCCCUCGCGGAUGGAGCUGAAAUCAGUCGAAGAUACCAGCUGGCUGCAACUGUUUAUUAAAAACACAGCACUGUGCAAACACGAAAGUGGACGUAUACGGUGUGACGCCUGCCCGGUGCCGGAAGGUUAAUUGAUGGGGUCAGCGCAAGCGAAGCUCUUGAUCGAAGCCCCGGUAAACGGCGGCCGUAACUAUAACGGUCCUAAGGUAGCGAAAUUCCUUGUCGGGUAAGUUCCGACCUGCACGAAUGGCGUAAUGAUGGCCAGGCUGUCUCCACCCGAGACUCAGUGAAAUUGAACUCGCUGUGAAGAUGCAGUGUACCCGCGGCAAGACGGAAAGACCCCGUGAACCUUUACUAUAGCUUGACACUGAACAUUGAGCCUUGAUGUGUAGGAUAGGUGGGAGGCUUUGAAGUGUGGACGCCAGUCUGCAUGGAGCCGACCUUGAAAUACCACCCUUUAAUGUUUGAUGUUCUAACGUUGACCCGUGAUCCGGGUUGCGGACAGUGUCUGGUGGGUAGUUUGACUGGGGCGGUCUCCUCCUAAAGAGUAACGGAGGAGCACGAAGGUUGGCUAAUCCUGGUCGGACAUCAGGAGGUUAGUGCAAUGGCAUAAGCCAGCUUGACUGCGAGCGUGACGGCGCGAGCAGGUGCGAAAGCAGGUCAUAGUGAUCCGGUGGUUCUGAAUGGAAGGGCCAUCGCUCAACGGAUAAAAGGUACUCCGGGGAUAACAGGCUGAUACCGCCCAAGAGUUCAUAUCGACGGCGGUGUUUGGCACCUCGAUGUCGGCUCAUCACAUCCUGGGGCUGAAGUAGGUCCCAAGGGUAUGGCUGUUCGCCAUUUAAAGUGGUACGCGAGCUGGGUUUAGAACGUCGUGAGACAGUUCGGUCCCUAUCUGCCGUGGGCGCUGGAGAAUUGAGGGGGGCUGCUCCUAGUACGAGAGGACCGGAGUGGACGCAUCACUGGUGUUCGGGUUGUCAUGCCAAUGGCACUGCCCGGUAGCUAAAUGCGGAAGAGAUAAGUGCUGAAAGCAUCUAAGCACGAAACUUGCCCCGAGAUGAGUUCUCCCUGACUCCUUGA